UACGUAGGGGGCAAGCGUUGUCCGGAAUCAUUGGGCGUAAAGCGCGUGUAGGCGGUUCGGUAAGUCGGCUGUGAAAGUCCAGGGCUCAACCCUGGGAUGCCGGUCGAUACUGCCGGACUAGAGUUCGGAAGAGGCGAGUGGAAUUCCCCGGUGUAGCGGUGAAAUGCGCAGAUAUCGGGAGGAACACCAAUGGCGAAGGCAGCUCGCUGGGACUUACUGACGCUGAGACGGCGAAAGCGUGGGGAGCAAACAGG
rnacentral:rRNA from 1 species